GCCUUCGUGGUGUAGUGGUCAGCACGCUCGGCGCGUAUUCGAGAGGUCCGUGGUUUGAAUCCCUGGGAGGGCA
rnacentral:tRNA from 1 species